CUCCCCCAUCUGCUCCCUGCAGGCAAGGCUCUGGUUCUCCAAGCCUGGCAAAGCACUGCGCUGGCUGAUGUCAUUUGUGACACAAUGGAAGAAACAAAUCCAUAAGCAGCCCAGAGACUCAGGACUCACACUCCCCUGCCGAGCCCAGGACCCUGUCAGACAAGGACUCAAGCUUGGAGCAGCACUGACUUCUCUCCUUCCUCGGCCCUGGUCACCUGGAGG